rnacentral:rRNA from 1 species
AAGAAAGUAACUAAGGGCGCACGGAGGAUGCCUUGGCUCUCAGAGGCGAAGAAGGACGUGAUAAGCUGCGAUAAGCUGCGGGGAGGGGCACAUACCCAUUAUAUCCGCAGAUUUCCGAAUGAGGAAACUCAUCAGGUUGAAGGCCUGAUAUCCCAAUAGGGAGGCAAACCCGGAGAACUGAAACAUCUAAGUACCCGGAGGAAGAGAAAACAAUUGUGAUUCCCCAAGUAGUGGCGAGCGAACGGGGAACAGCCCAAACCAGUUUUGUUAAGGCAAAGCUGGGGUUGUAGGACUGCAACAUGCACUUUAAAUAGAUAGUGGACAGGUUCUGGAAAGUUCCGCCAUAGAGGGUGAUAGCCCCGUACACGAAAUCUAUUUAAUAGCUAGCAGUAUCCUGAGUACCGCGGGGUCGGAGACGCCUUGCGGGAAUUUGCCGGCACCAUCCGGUAAGGCUAAAUACUCCUGAGAGACCGAUAGUGAACUAGUACCGUGAGGGAAAGGUGAAAAGAACCCCUAACAGGGGAGUGAAAUAGUACCUGAAACCGUGCGCUUACAAGCGGUCGGAGUCCGCCUCGGCGGAUGACGGCGUGCCUUUUGCAUAAUGAGCCUACGAGUUACUCUUCUCUGGCAAGGUUAAGGCCUUCAGGGCCGAAGCCGAAGCGAAAGCGAGUCUGAAUAGGGCGUAUAGUCAGAGGAGGUAGACGCGAAACCUUGUGAUCUACCCUUGGCCAGGUUGAAAGGCAGGUAACACUGUCUGGAGGACCGAACUGGUGAACGUUGAAAAGUUCUCGGAUGAGCUGAGGGUAGGGGUGAAAGGCUAAUCAAACUGGGAAAUAGCUCGUACUCCCCGAAAUGCCUUUAGGGGCAGCCUCGAGGUUGAGUUUUAUAGAGGUAGAGCUACCGAUUGGACUAGGGGGCUUCACCGCCUACCAAAUCCUGACGAACUCCGAAUACUAUAAAAUAUACUCGGGAGUGAGGCUGUGGGUGCUAAGGCCCAUGGCCGAGAGGGAAAGAACCCAGACCAUCAGCUAAGGUCCCCAAAUGUAUGUUAAGUUGAUCUAACGUGGUCCGAUUGCAUUGACAGCUAGGAUGUUGGCUUGGAAGCAGCCAUUCAUUUAAAGAGUGCGUAACAGCUCACUAGUCGAGCGAUCGGGCGUGGAUAAUGACCGGGCAUUAAACAUACUACCGAAGCUAUGGCAUCAAUUUAUUGAUGGGUAGGGGAGCAUUCCGGCAGCGCUGAAGGUGUGACGUGAGUCAUGCUGGAGUGGCCGGAAAAGCAAAUGUAGGCAUAAGUAACGAUAAUGCAGGCGAGAAACCUGCACGCCGAAAGACCAAGGUUUCCUGAUCAACGUUAAUCGGAUCAGGGUUAGUCGGGGCCUAAGGUGUAGCCGAAAGGCGGAGCCGAUGGACAACUGGUUAAUAUUCCAGUACCGGCAUUGCUGCGAUGUGGUGACGAAGGAGUGAAAGAACCGCGUACUUACAGAAUAGUACGUUAAAGCUUGUAGAUAUAGGAUUGGCAGGCAAAUCCGCCAGUCUUGUCGAAGGUGAUAGUACCGUGAGCCCUCGGGUGAGCGGAUAGUGUUCCUAAUCAGACUUCCAAGAAAAACCGCUAAGCUUCAGGCAAAUGCUGCCCGUACCGCAAACCGACACAGGUGGUUGAGAAGAAUAUUCUAAGGCGCUCGAGUGAAUCAUGGCUAAGGAACUCGGCAAAUUCGUCCUGUAACUUCGGGAGAAAGGACCCCCACGCAAGUGGGGCGCAGAGAAAUGGCCCAGGCAACUGUUUAACAAAAACACAUGGCUAUGCUAAAUCGAAAGAUGAUGUAUAUGGCCUGACACCUGCCCGGUGCUGGAAGGUUAAGAGGAGAUGUCAUGCGUCUUUGGCGCAGAAGCAUUGAAUCGAAGCCCCAGUAAACGGCGGCCGUAACUAUAACGGUCCUAAGGUAGCGAAAUUCCUUGUCGGGUAAGUUCCGACCUGCACGAAUGGUGUAAUGAUCUGGGCACUGUCUCAGCCAUGAGCUCGGUGAAAUUGUAGUAGCGGUGAAGAUGCCGCUUACCCGCAACGGGACGGAAAGACCCCGUGCACCUUUACUAUAGCUUAGCAUUGACUUUGGGCAUUUGAUGUGUAGGAUAGGUGGGAGACUUUGAAGCGGUGGCGCCAGCCAUCGUGGAGUCGUCCUUGAAAUACCACCCUUUACAUGUUUGAAGUCUAAUCCGCCAAAGGCGGAGACAUUGCUUGGUGGGUAGUUUGACUGGGGUGGUCGCCUCCAAAAAAGUAUCGGAGGCUUUCAAAGGUACCCUCAACACGCUUGGUAACCGUGUGUAGAGUGCAAUAGCAUAAGGGUGCUUGACUGUGAGACCUACAAGUCGAGCAGGGUCGAAAGACGGAUAUAGUGAUCCGGUGGUUCCGCAUGGAAGGGCCAUCGCUCAUAGGAUAAAAGGUACGCCGGGGAUAACAGGCUGAUCACUCCCAAGAGCUCACAUCGACGGAGUGGUUUGGCACCUCGAUGUCGGCUCGUCACAUCCUGGGGCUGGAGAAGGUCCCAAGGGUUCGGCUGUUCGCCGAUUAAAGUGGCACGCGAGCUGGGUUCAGAACGUCGUGAGACAGUUCGGUCCCUAUCUGUUGUGGGCGUUAGAAAGUUGAGUGAACCUGACUCUAGUACGAGAGGACCGAGUCGGACGAACCUCUAGUGUACCUGUUGUCAUGCUAGUGGCACCGCAGGGUAGCUAUGUUCGGUUGAGAUAAGCGCUGAAAGCAUCUAAGUGCGAAACUCAUCACAAGAUUAGCUUUCUUUUAAGGGUCGUAGAAGACUACUACGUUGAUAGGCUAUAGGUGUAAAGACAGUAAUGUCAAAGCCGAGUAGUACUAAUUGCCCGUAAACUUUCUUAU